rnacentral:rRNA from 1 species
CCCUUAGAUGUCCUGGGCCGCACGCGCGCUACACUGACAUGUUCAACAAGCCUCCUAGUUCGACAGGAUUUGGGAAAUCUUUGAACGCAUGUCGUGAUAGGGAUAGAUCAUUGCAAUUAUUGAUCUUGAACGAGGAAUUCCUAGUAAACGCGAGUCAUCAGCUCGCAUUGAUUACGUCCCUGCCCUUUGUACACACCGCCCGUCGCUCCUACCGAUUGAAUGCUCAGGUGAGCCAUUCGGACUUUCAUCAUGCUGGUUUCCAGUUUUGAUGAAGGAAAGUCUUGCGAACCUUAUCAUUUAGAGGAAGGAGAAGUCGUAACA